GCUGGCUUUGGAUUCUCAACCAUCCGAUAAUUUGGGAGUAUGGUUUUCUCCAUUUUACAGCCAGGGCUUCGCUUGUUCUCCUCUGAAACGCUUCAUAUUUUUUGUGGGGGACUCCUUCCGUACUUGCAGACACAGAAGAAGAGAUGGAGGAGAAGAUAGACAAAACAAGAACAAGGUGCACAAACACCAAGUUUGCCGUUGAUGCUGACGAGGGAACUAGCCUAUAGGCCUUGCGAGAAGUUAGAUAAAAAGCAAGUACCGGAUCUGAAGCAGCUGAAGUGCCGUAUAUGUUGCAAGUUCCAAAAUCCACUAAUGUCUUGAAAUGUGUGUUAAUUUAUUGAAAGUUAGUCAUUGUCUUAUUGUUAUGUUUAA